GGUGGUCCCAGUGGUUAGAGCAUCCGCCUAGAAUGCGAGAGGUCGCGGGUUCGAACCCUAGCUUAAUCA